UACGGAAGGCAGCAGUGGGGAAUAUUGCACAAUGGGCGAAAGCCUGAUGCAGCUAUGCCGCGUGUAUGAAGAAGGCCUUAGGGUUGUAAAGUACUUUCAUCGGGGAGGAAAAAACAAAACUAAUAAUUUUAUUUCUUGACGUUACCCGAAAAAGAAGCACCGGCUAACUCCGUGCCAGCAGCCGCGGUAAUACGGAGGGUGCUAGCGUUAAUCAGAAUUACUGGGCGUAAAGAGCACGUAGGUGGUUUUUUUAAGUCAGAUGUGAAAUCCCUGGGCUUAACCUAGGAACUGCAUUUUGAAACUGAAAUACUAGAGUAUCGUAGAGGGAGGUAGAAUUCUAGGUGUAGCGGUGAAAUGCGUAGAUAUCUGGAGGAAUACCUGUGGCGAAAGCGGCCUCCUAAACGAAUACUGACACUGAGGUGCGAAAGCGUGGGGAGCAAACAGGGAUUAGAUACCCCGU
rnacentral:rRNA from 1 species